UACGAAGGGGACUAGCGUUGUUCGGAAUCACUGGGCGUAAAGCGCACGUAGGCGGAUGUGUCAGUCAGGGGUGAAAUCCCGGGGCUCAACCCUGGAACUGCCUUUGAUACUGUCGAUCUGGAGUAUGGAAGAGGUGAGUGGAAUUCCGAGUGUAGAGGUGAAAUUCGUAGAUAUUCGGAGGAACACCAGUGGCGAAGGCGGCUCACUGGUCCAUUACUGACGCUGAGGUGCGAAAGCGUGGGGAGCAAACAGG
rnacentral:rRNA from 1 species